AUUUGCUCCUAGUAAAUAUUGCUACUUCUUUCAGAAAUGAAAGAUGAAACACUUGCUCAAAUCGGUGAAAUCCAUUACAUUAAAGCCAUGGUCCUAUGGCUGUAAAGGACAAUACCGAGGGAAGAUGAGUGUGAUAGAUCACGUAUUGAUCAUCAUCUCAUCCCCGUAACGACUGGAUCUCGUUCGAAUUCGAACGAGUGAAGAUGGAAUUUUAUUCCAUAACACGGCAAGCACCUUCCUUGUGUUCGCACAAAAAGGUGAAGGUAUAGUCUAUCCUUCUGGUAACAGAAGA
rnacentral:ncRNA from 1 species